UACGAAGGGGGCUAGCGUUGCUCGGAAUCACUGGGCGUAAAGCGCACGUAGGCGGAUUGCUAAGUCAGGGGUGAAAUCCUGGAGCUCAACUCCAGAACUGCCUUUGAUACUGGCGACCUUGAGUCCGGGAGAGGUGAGUGGAACUGCGAGUGUAGAGGUGAAAUUCGUAGAUAUUCGCAAGAACACCAGUGGCGAAGGCGGCUCACUGGCCCGGUACUGACGCUGAGGUGCGAAAGCGUGGGGGAGCGAACAGG
rnacentral:rRNA from 1 species